rnacentral:rRNA from 1 species
AUUUAUCGGAGAGUUUGAUCCUGGCUCAGGACGAACGCUGGCGGCGUGCCUAAUACAUGCAAGUCGAGCGGACAGAUGGGAGCUUGCUCCCUGAUGUUAGCGGCGGACGGGUGAGUAACACGUGGGUAACCUGCCUGUAAGACUGGGAUAACUCCGGGAAACCGGGGCUAAUACCGGAUGCUUGUUUGAACCGCAUGGUUCAAACAUAAAAGGUGGCUUCGGCUACCACUUACAGAUGGACCCG